rnacentral:misc_RNA from 1 species
CAACCCUCAGGCCCCCGCGGCCUGGUGUUGGGAAGGGCCGAUCUGAUCGGCCAUCCCUAAAUGAAGUGGCGGUCGCGCCGCAGCAUCCCUUGCGCAGUAGCACAGCUCGCACCGGAUCGCGGCGCGGCCAAGCCGUGAAACCCAAACUUUCAAUGG